UGAUGUAAGGGCGAUUUGGCUGUGACAUCUGUCACCCCAUUGAUUGCUAGGGUUGAUUCAGCUAAUAUGGUUGGCUAGGCAUGUGUCCCCUUCCUCCCUCACCAUUCCAUGUGCAUCCCUCUCAAAGCUGCACGCUCAAUGGAAGAGGACAGCCUUCCCUGAAUGGAGACAGACCAGUCUUCCGUCGAGGGUAUACGAGUACCUGCGCUAUCCUGCUAGAACCUCCAAACAGCUCUCCAGGUAUUGAAGAUUGAAAGUGGAACUUUUGAUGCUUCAGGUGUGAAAGUUUUUUUUUGCAUAACCAUUAUGCUAUC
rfam:Erinaceus europaeus unplaced genomic scaffold scaffold00035, whole genome shotgun sequence